rnacentral:rRNA from 1 species
UACGUAGGGACCAAGCGUUGUUCGGAUUUACUGGGCGUAAAGGGCGCGUAGGCGGCUUAACAAGUCACUUGUGAAAUCUCCGGGCUUAACUCGGAACGGCCAAGUGAAACUGUCAAGCUAGAGUGCAGAAGGGGCAAUCGGAAUUCUUGGUGUAGCGGUGAAAUGCGUAGAUAUCAAGAGGAACACCUGCGGCGAAGGCGGGUUGCUGGGCUGACACUGACGCUGAGGCGCGAAAGCCAGGGGAGCGAACGGG